AGCGAUUCUCCUGCCUCAGCUUCCCAAGCAGCUGGACUACAGCAGGGAUGACGGCGCUCCUGGAGGCUGGCUGGGAAGCUGGUCAGGGUCCCAGGACUCUGACACCCCCAAUGGCCCUUGUAGCCUUGGGGAGUCCUGUGAUCCAAGGCUGGAGGACUGAGUCCCCUCCAGGUCUCAUAGCAGACGAAUAGCAGCUUCACCCAGGCCUGUUUUGUCGUGGCCCCAUUCAGAGGCCGCCCUCCUCUGUGGUUUAGAGCAUGCCCUGGAAUCCCUAGCACAACCAGGUGACGAGAGUUCCCCGCUGGCCCCCUGCCGCGGGAACACAAAGUACCUUUGCACAUAACCUUUCUUUGUCCUCUGCUGGUGACGGCAAAUAGGGCAGGCCCAGGGCAACGUGGUAAGGUGGCAGAAGUUUGUUUUGGACAGUGUUUGCAGCUUCUCUGUUCCCUUUCCACCAGGGGUUACCUCCUGCUGGCUGACCCCUUCCUGUGCUGCGGGCUGGAAUAUAGGGUUUAACCCUGUUAUAACCCAGAGGAACACAAAAGGAGGAACAUCAGGCUUUAUGGAGAGACUGGAAAUGAAGUGGAGGUUUUCCUUGCUCAUGAAACCUGGCUCACCCUACAGGUAGUCCCAAAGAGAGCUUGUGAUUUUCUUUCCCCUUUGGUCCCCCGACCCCUUCAGAGCUCUCUGGGAAGCUAUGCUCUCUCACUGCUUUCCCUCCCCUGAUCAGAGUCCCUGUGCCAAGGCUCCUGGAUACUGGGGCUGGAAAACCUCCUGUCCCUUCCACCACUCCUGUGCCCUCCAGGGAAGGGGUCUGGGGUCUCGGGGCUCACCCCCACCUGUGUGCCAGUCCCUGUGCUAGGCCUGCACAGACAUCAGCUCGCUGAUCACUACGAGAACCUCAACUCUUCUCCCCAUUUCAUGAGGACACCGAGGCUCAGAGGUGUUCGUGAUACUCAAGAUCACACUGCCAGAGCGUGAGUUACUGGGAUUUGAACUUUGGUCCGUGUGGCUGCAAAGCCAGUGGCUGCUAUGAUUCUCUUUCCACUUGCUGCAGCCCACGUCCCUCUGGGCAAGUCUGACACCCUAGCUGCCCUCAACUGCCUGGCCCCGUGGCGUCCCAGAGGGCGAGGGGAGCACAGGGACUGGGCACAGAGGCCAGCUGGGGUCAAGGCAAGGGGGCUGCCCAGCACAGUGGUUCUGCUCCAGAGGUGCAGUCAGACUGCCUGGGUUGGCUCAUGCCUGGGUCUGUCAUUGUGGGCAGCGUGACCAGCCUAAACCUCAGUUUUCUCUUUUGUCACCUAUGUGCUAAAAAUACUUAUUUCUGGAGAUUCUUGUGAGGAUUAAAUGAGAUCUUCCAAGCCAAGUGCUUUGCAUAGUGACGCAGGGUAGGUGCUCAAGAAAUUUUGUUGUCUGCCUGUGGUCUGGGUGGGGGCAGGGUGGGGCUGCGAUGGUGAAGAAAUGACACAGAAACCCACAGGAAACUUCAUCAUCUAGAUGGUACAUGGAUGGCACAUUCAAGGGAAGUAACGAAACGAGAAGAAAAAACUUUUACAUUUUGGCUGAGCAAAGGCAACAAUAUAAUUACCAUCAUUUAUAAAAACUGCCUCCCAUUAAUGUCUAAUUCCCACAAAGCGCAACAAUGAUUAUCUCAUUAACUAUGUGUCAGAUUAACUUUGUUGCAGGUUUUAUUUGAUUAAAACAGUGAACUCACAACACGUAUUAUGCUCAUUCUUCAUAGUUUGUGGUUUCUGGAGCAUAGUCCUCUGUUGGCAACUUUUUCUAAAUUAGAGGGCACGUUUCUGGGUGGUGCAGACCCCUGUCCCCUCCUCCUCACCCCUACCUUAACAGGGAGAAGCUGCCUGUGGACAGCUCCCAGCUGCACAGGGAAAUCGCUGAAGAUUUCUAAUAGGGAAGUGUCACACUUUGCCAACUCUGGAGAAGACAGAAUAAUUGGCUGGAAUCGCAGACCGGGUCUUGUGAAGGUGCAGUGACACAAUGUGCAUGAAAGAGGCUCGAGCAGGACCUGAUGCACAACCUCCUGCUCCAGAUGCCUGGCUUCUCCAGGGCACCCCGAUGGGUGGCUCUGCCACCCCAGGACACUGGACUGGGGCCACCCUUACAGAACCGGUUCGAAGCCAAACAAUGGCACGUCACAGUCCAGCUGAGCCGGAGGCCUCAGCAGGGCAGCGGGCCCCUUCCCUGGCCCCAGAGGUGAAGGAGGGCGACUUCCCCAGGGAGAGGAAGCAGAAUGACGGCCUGCAGCUUUCCUGCCGCGGGAGGGGAACUUCAGGUCAGAAUGGCCGUCUCAACCUCAUGGAAGCCUCCCUCUGGACUGACGAGUGACCGCUGUUGUGGUGGGAGGUCCACCUUCCCGCAAAGGGAGCCAAGAGCCCAGAGGGGUCACUUGGGCCCAGGGAGGGUGGGACACAGACGUCUGGGUGGAAGUUGGACAAAGUCUGGCAGAAUGGGGCACCAGGGCACAGUAAGACCCUGGCUGGGACACUGAGUGGGGACAGUCCCCAGCAAUUCCCUUGGAGAUAAAGAGCCUGCGGCAGGUCCCAGAUCCUGACAGAGGACAGACAGGAGGGGACAAGCUGGUGGUGGGGGUGAGCUGGCUAGGCAGAAAGCUCUGUGGACACCUGAGGCCUCCUCCUGGAAUUGCCCCAAGCCAUGUGGCUAAGGCCUAGGGAGACCCUCACCAUGUG
rnacentral:lncRNA from 1 species